GAUGGAAGCUUGCUUCUAUCAAUCUUAGUGGCGAACGGGUGAGUAACGCGUAAUCAACCUGCCCUUCAGAGGGGGACAACAGUUGGAAACGACUGCUAAUACCGCAUACGAUCURAYCUCGGCAUCGAGGAUGGAUGAAAGGUGGCCUCUAUUUAUAAGCUAUCACUGAAGGAGGGGAUUGCGUCUGAUUAGCUAGUUGGAGGGGUAACGGCCCACCAAGGCGAUGAUCAGUAGCCGGUCUGAGAGGAUGAACGGCCACAUUGGGACUGAGACACGGCCCAGACUCCUACGGGAGGCAGCAGUGGGGAAUCUUCCGCAAUGGACGAAAGUCUGACGGAGCAACGCCGCGUGAGUGAUGACGGCCUUCGGGUUGUAAAGCUCUGUUAAUCGGGACGAAAGGCCUUCUUGCGAAUAGUUAGAAGGAUUGACGGUACCGGAAUAGAAAGCCACGGCUAACUACGUGCCAGCAGCCGCGGUAAUACGUAGGUGGCAAGCGUUGUCCGGAAUUAUUGGGCGUAAAGCGCGCGCAGGCGGAUUGGUCAGUCUGUCUUAAAAGUUCGGGGCUUAACCCCGUGAUGGGAUGGAAACUGCCAAUCUAGAGUAUCGGAGAGGAAAGUGGAAUUCCUAGUGUAGCGGUGAAAUGCGUAG
rnacentral:rRNA from 1 species